rnacentral:rRNA from 1 species
GAACGAGGAUAUAUCCUUCGGGAUAUAAGCCGAGUGGCACAAGGGUGAGCAAUGCAUAGAUUACCUACCUUUAGGAUAAGGGCAACUUUGUGAAAACGGAGCUAAUACUUAAUAAUACAAAAGAAAAUAAUUUCCUUUUGUCAAAGGGAGGGUAGCAAUACCUUUCGCCUAGAGAGGGGUUUAUGUCCUAUCAGCUUGUUGGUGGGGUAAUAGCCUACCAAGGCGAAGACGGGUAGCCGGUUUAAGAGGAUGGUCGGCCACACUGGGACUGAGACACUGCCCAGACUUCUACGGAAGGCUGCAGUCGAGAAUCUUUCGCAAUGCCCGAAAGGGUGACGAAGCGACGCCGCGUGGGUGAAGAAGGCCUUCGGGUUGCAAAGCCCUGUCAGGAGUUAUGAAAUGUAAGUGCGCUAAUAUCGUGCUUAUUUGACAAAGGCUCCAAAGGAAGCCACGGCUAACUCUGUGCCAGCAGCCGCGGUAAUACAGAGGUGGCGAGCGUUGUUCGGAAUUAUUGGGCGUAAAGAGCACGUAGGUGGGUUUGCAAGUCAGAUGUGAAAGCCUUCUGUUCAACGGAAGAAUUGCAUCUGAAGCUGCUAAUCUUGAGUAUAGGAGGGGAGAAUGGAACUUCUGGUGGAGCGGUGAAAUGCGUAGAUAUCAGAAGGAACGCCGGCGGCGAAAGCGAUUCUCUGGCCUAUUACUGACACUCAGUGUGCGAAAGCUAGGGGAGCAAACGGGAUUAGAUACCCCGGUAGUCCUAGCCGUAAACGAUGGGCACUAAGUAGAGGGAAUUACCUAUAUUCUCUCUGCCGUAGCUAACGCAUUAAGUGCCCCGCCUGGGGAGUACGGCCGCAAGGCUAAAACUCAAAAGAAUUGACGGGGGCUCGCACAAGCGGUGGAGCAUGUGGCUUAAUUCGAUGCAACGCGAAAAACCUUACCGGGGCUUGACAUGAUAGAAGUAGGAACCUGAAAGGGGGACGAACGGUAUCCAGUCCGUAGCUAUUACAGGUGUUGCAUGGCUGUCGUCAGCUCGUGUCGUGAGACGUUGGGUUAAGUCCCCUAACGAGCGAAACCCUUGUUUUUAGUUACCAGCGGGUUAUGCCGGGUACUCUAGAAAGACUGCCGUCGUCAAGACGGAGGAAGGUGGGGAUGACGUCAAGUCAUCAUGGCCCUUAUGCCCCGGGCUGCACACGUGCUACAAUGGUCGGUACAGACGGAAGCGAAGCCGAGAGGUGAAGCGAAUCCUAAAAAGCCGAUCUCAGUUCGGAUUGGAGGCUGAAAUUCGCCUCCAUGAAGUUGGAAUCGCUAGUAAUCGCGGAUCAGCAAUGUCGCGGUGAGUAUGUUCCCGAGCCUUGUACACACCGCCCGUCAAGCCACCCAAGCAGGAUGCACCCGAAAACAUUAUAUCUGACCAGGGCAACUUGGAGGAAAAUGUUGAAGGAGUGUUUUGUGAGGAGGACU